UACGUAGGGUGCAAGCGUUGUCCGGAAUUAUUGGGCGUAAAGAGCUCGUAGGCGGUUUGUCGCGUCUGCUGUGAAAACUCGGGGCUUAACUCCGGGCCUGCAGUGGGUACGGGCAGACUAGAGUGCGGUAGGGGAGACUGGAAUUCCUGGUGUAGCGGUGAAAUGCGCAGAUAUCAGGAGGAACACCAGUGGCGAAGGCGACUACCUGGCCUGUUCUUGACGCUGAGGCGCGAAAGCUAGGGGAGCAAACGGG
rnacentral:rRNA from 1 species